rnacentral:lncRNA from 1 species
ACAAAGAAAGAUCCAUGAACAUGCUAGAGAAUUAUAGCAAAGUUCAAGUUGGUGGAAGAGUCUAGAAGAAUGGUGAGGAUUCCACCAACAUACAAGAUUAAUGUAGAUAAUUCUAGCUUAGGAAGGUAGUGGAAUUAUCUAGAUAUCUCUAGCAUGAUGCUUCCAUGCUUCUCCAAGGUUCCAUCCAUGCCUAUAAAAGGAGAAGGCAUCCACACCAUUUGAAACAACCAAGA